AUUGAACGCUGGCGGCAUGCCUUACACAUGCAAGUCGAACGGCAGCGCGGGGCAACCUGGCGGCGAGUGGCGAACGGGUGAGUAAUAUAUCGGAACGUGCCCUGGAGUGGGGGAUAACGCAGCGAAAGUUGCGCUAAUACCGCAUACGAUCUAAGGAUGAAAGCAGGGGGAUCGCAAGACCUCUCACUAUUGGAGCGGCCGAUGUCGGAUUAGCAGUUGGUGGGGUAAAAGCCUACCAAGGCUACGAUCCGUAGCUGGUCUGAGAGGACGACCAGCCACACUGGAACUGAGACACGGUCCAGACUCCUACGGGAGGCAGCAGUGGGGAAUUUUGGACAAU
rnacentral:rRNA from 1 species